CCUACGGGAGACAGCAGUGGGGAAUAUUGCGCAAUGGGGGCAACCCUGACGCAGCAACGCAGCGUGAUUGAAGACUGCCUUCGGGUUGUAAAGCUCUUUAAUUGUGGACGUAUUUUGACGGUAGCCGGAGAAUAAGCACCGGCCAACUACGUGCCAGCAGCCGCGGUAAUACGGAGGGAGCAAGCGUUAUCCGGAUUUACUGGGUGUAAAGGGCGUGUAGGUGGGCAUGCAAGCCAGAUGUGAAAUCUGGGGGCUUAACCGCCAAACUGCUGUUGGAACUGGGUGUCUUGAGUGAUGGAGAGGCAGGCGGAAUUCGCAGUGUAGCGGUGAAAUGCGUAGAUAUUGGGAGGAACACCAGUGGCGAAGGCAGCCUGCUGGACAUUAACUGACGCUGAGGCGCGAAAGUGUGGGGAGCAAACAGGAUUAGAUACCCUGGUAGUC
rnacentral:rRNA from 1 species